AGAGGAAGUACGGAGACCAAGCUCGGUCUUGUCCUGUGUUGCCAAGCACAUUGCUCAGCUUACCGUUUGGCAGAGGCAGGAGCAUGGAACAAGGGAGCGGCAUUCGCUCUUCCUGUGUUCUUGGAAAUGUUUCCUUGGAAUCGGAGCUUAUCAGAGAACAGCGAGAGAGUGAAACCACGUGCUCAACGCAGAUAAGGUUGUCCAGUAUUGGAGGAAAACAAAACUGGCAUCUGUGCCUGAGCCAGACUCCCAGCUGCUUCAGAGGCUCCUAUAGAAGAAUCUACAGUUCAAGGCCCAUCUGAGCAACUGAAAACCUGAAAUGGCAUCUAUUUACGACACAGCAGGAGUCUGGACAAAUAACACACAGAUUUUAACUACUCCAAUGCCUUGGCCUUAACAGACCUGACUAGUGGAUCACAGAGCUCUUUCCUCAUGGACACUCACGCAGGCACUACUGCUGGGUCAGAGAUGAAACCUAUUUGCUUCCUAAUAAAACUCAGAUCUAAA